CGGCCGCCUGAGCGACGGCCGCGGUGGCCACUGAGGAGCGGGGUCCGCCCCCGGCGGGGAGCCCGGGCGGGGCCUGCCCGCCGUGGCGCCGGGGUCCCUUCCCGGGAUGCCGGCAGGCGCGGCGGGCCGGGGUGCCCCGGCCUCGGCGUCCUCCCGGCGGGGCGGGCUCCGAGGCGUCCGCCCCGCCGCUGCUUCCUCAGACUGGCGGCCGCCGGCUCUGGCCCCGAGCGGGGGCCGGGGAGGAAGCGCCCGUUCGGAGGGCGACAGGCGGCUGGCAGACCCGCCGGGUGCGGGGAAGGCUGGCGGAACGUGGCGGCUCUCCCAGGCGGAGGGGAUCCAGUAGAUGGAGUGAAGCAGCAGGUGCACGUGCUGGUGAGUCAUGUUGGCAGCGGGCUUCUGGUCCCCUCCGGCUGGAAAGAGCUGUGAGUACGUCCCAGAUAUAUCCCAGAGUGCAGAGAGCAUUUGAAUUCCGAGUGUGCUGAGCGAAGGAAAAGCGGAGGCUACAUGAAUGACAUGCUUGGACCGCAAGAGGGAGAGCGAAGCCUGCUCACUAGAUGAAUGUUUCUUUCAGUUUGUUUUGUGGGUUGACAUUUUCUUUGGCCCCAGAUAAUAAAAACGCUUUGCCAUCACACAGCUCUCAAUAUUCAUACAUGAAGAGGCAUGAAAAAUACUCUGGAAGAAGGAACAGGGAUACUCCAGAUUUUCUCUCAACUGCCUUUAUCUGUAAAGUAUGUAGAGGUGGCUACAGUCUGUGUUCAGUUACCGAAGGGAAUAAAAUUACCAGUGGAACAAUUGGGACGCAUAGAACAAAAUACAACUGUGUUUUGUAGUUAGAAUGCAAGGGGCAGAGCCAUAGAUCUUCCAGGCAAAGGCACAGAAAGCUACUGUACACAUAAGCAUGAUCUCAGGGAGAGAGUUGUUUCUCCUUGCUGUUGUCACUGGUGGAAUCCAAGAUGAACUCUUGCAAAUAUGUGCAGAAAAUGCAAAAAACUGGUACACAGUACAUUGUAGAAGCGAAUUGCAAGAUGGGUAUUCGCACCUUGGAAUGAUCAUAUGUUAGCUGGCUCACUACAGAAGUGAACCAAAGGCAAAACAUCAUGAAAUAUUUGCCACUCCAAUGUGGACUGUAAAUAUUCUCCUCUAGGUUUGGGCUGAAGAUACAUGUGCUGUGUGGUUUUUACUGUUCACAACUGACUUUAAUGCAAGAAAGUAGGUUCUAAGCUUAUGGUUGUCUUAUUAAACAAUAACCUCAUUUGUUCUGAAGUGUUACAAACACUCUAUUGUAAAACAUCUACUCUAGACUGUGGAAGCUAAUUCAAAAACUGGUAGUAGCUCCAUUUUAGAGAUGACCAAGUGGUUAUCAAACCUGCAACUAGAAUGUAAAAUUUGGGGUUUAUGAGAAUUUCCUGUGUAUGCAGAACAUGAUUCUGACAUGCUGGAUCAGAAUCUUACCCCCAACAUGACAAAUGGAGCUUUUUCUGGUCCUCUCUCACAUAGAUAAACAUUGCAGCCAUUCAACUUUAGGUAUUUCAGACUGGUAUGUGUGUCUACAAUUGGAAAAUAUAUUCCAGAAAACAUCUAGUGAUUCUAAAAUCUUAAACUAUAUAAUGUCUUCUGUAAGUUCAUUUCUGUGUGGAUUCUUUGAAAGGACAAUGUAUGUAUUUGAGGCUUGCAAGAGAGAAAAAGUUCCUAUUACAUUUUUUUUUUACUCGUUACAAAACUGUGAUAGAAAUAAAUACAUCAUCUUCAGGUGCUGUUCAAACUAAUUAAAAAGCUUCUUGAUAAUAUUUGACAAAAAAAACCCCAGCUUUAAAGGUUUUAUUUAAGCAGAGGAGGGGGAGAAAGAUCAUUCCUGUUCAGUUCAUGUUAUUACUAUGGCAUGUCUUAAAAUGUUGCUCUUUCAAGGCUGUGGUUUGUCUUUCAGCAAUACAAAAAUGGCAUCUUGCCUAAAUAGCCUCUAGUACUUGUGCUUUGGUGCCUAUGAAUGGAAGAAUCUAUCGUUACUUCUGUUGCUAGUAAAGGCUUUUUCUACGUAGGAAAAAUGUAGCUUGCUGAGAAGAUCCAUGGCUUCCCUUUAAAAGCACAACGUCUUUUUAAUUGUUUGGCGCCACGAAGUGGUAAAAUUCUAUAUUGCUCUAAAUACUCAAUUUCUGAGAGUUUACAAAUGAUAAGCUCAUAAUUUUAGACAAUAUUAAUAAUAGAAAAUAUUCUACUUACUGGAUAUAGGCAUAGCUCAAGACUAGGAUUUACUGCUUAAACAUCAAAGUUUCCAACAUUGUAGAUUAGAAUUUUUCCUUUGAAAGGGAUUUUCACUGGUGGAUAUUGAUUUGUCAAAACUGUGAAGCCUGUGAACAUAAAUCCAGUGCUUAGAAAAAACCUUCUGAUGAGUUGCAGGACCAUGCAGAGACAUGGCAGUAAAGAUGACUGUACCCACUCAGAGCUGGGGCCAUCCAGCCUGGGGUCCAGUUGCUUGACUGUUGCCCUCAGACAGUGCCCAGGGAAGCCAGAAUACUGUCCUAGUCUCCAGUUGCUUUGUCAUUUGGGGACUUUGUGAGCCAGUUUUGUGUUUUGAAACUUUUUUUUUUUCUUCCAUGAGUUAGCCCAGCUGUAAUUUUCAAGAUCCAAAAUGUCCUUGGAUGAGGAGCUCCAUGGUUUAAGUAAUUCACAGAAUCACAGAAUGUUAGGGAUUGGAAGGGACCUUGAAAGAUCAUCUAGUCCAAUCCCCCUGUCAGAGCAGGAACACCCAGAUGAGGUUUCACAGGAAUGUGUCCAGGCAGGUUUUGAAUGUCUCCAGAGAAGGGGACUCCACAACCCCCUGGGCAGCCUGUUCCAGUGUUUUGUUACCCUCACUGAGAAGAAGUUUCUUCUCAAGUUUAAGUGGAACCUCCUGUGUUCCAGUUUGAACCCAUUAACCCUUGUCUUACCAUUGGUUGUCACCAAGAAGAGCCUGGCUCCAUCCUUGUGACACUCACCCUUUACAUAUUUAUAAACAUUAAUGAGGUCACCCCUCAGUCUCCUCUCCUCCAAGCUAAAGAGCCCCAGCUCCGUCAGCCUUUCCUCAUACGGGAGAUGCUCCACUCCCUUAAUCAUCUUUGUUGCCCUACGCUGGACCCUCUCCAGCAGUUCCCUGUCCUUCUGGAACUGAGGGGCCCAGAACUGGACAAAAUAUUCCAGAUGCGGUCUCACCAGGGCAGAGUAGAGCGGUUGGAGAACCUCUCUCGACCUAAUUCAUUUAGUUCUGGACUUGCCAUCUGCUUGUUUCAUUUGAUGCCUUUUAGUUUUUGUAGAUACAGUGAGAAAUUAUUUUAUAAAUUUCUGUCAUAUUCCAUUUCAGUAGUUUCUCUGUGAGAGUGAAGUUACCUACUCUCUUUAAUGGUUUCACAGGGAAGCCCCUCCUCUAUCUUUAGCCAUCCUUCUUACCCUACCUCACACCUCUGGCAGCACUACUACAAUCUUUUGUGUAGGGAUGUGUAGGGAUGGACACUGCAGACAGUGCUCAAGGUGUAGGUGUAUUUAUGCAGUGCCAUAGCAAUGCUUUCUAUUUUGUUUUUUAUUCUCUCCAUAGCAAUUUCUAGCACUGUGAUUGCUUUUUUGGUGUCUGCAAGAUCUCUGGCACAUAGCAGAGCACAGCGUAGCCAUGACACCAGUAACACACAGGUCUGUGAAUUACAGAAAAUGAGCUGGAAUACAAAGAGUUGGAACCCUGAAAAGGGUUCCCCUGAAAUUGGGGAACCUGUAGGGAGAGGAUCACACUGCAUGUAAAAUGUGCAGGUAUUGAACUGAAGUCAAGGAACUGGAGAUUAAGCUUAGCUUGUUGGAGACUUCGCUUACACUAAGUGAGGAUGCGUUGUCUGAUUUGGCUGGAAGGUUAAAUCACAUAUGAGCAUUCAGUCUAUCUUGGACCUGGAGAAAGUCCAGCAUUUUAAGCAGGUCACUGCGAUGCAUAGUGCCAAGCAAUGGUUUCCUAGAAAUAUCUGAACACAAAACAGUGGGAAAAUGAACCAACCAACAGUGAAAAACUCAAAUUAUUUUCCACAUAUUUGGAAAUGCUUAAACCUUUUCCCAAUUCCUUUGGCCAUUACCAUGUCAGAAGUCAGAAGUUACUGUUAAACUUCAGUGCUAAAGGGGCGUCCAGAAGUUUGCUGGAGGUCCUGAACAGAUUCCCAUGGACUUUAGCUGCUUUAGAAAGCCAAGAAAAUCACUGUUGGGUGAAAAUCAAGUGGAAAUGAAUGGGUUUUGUUAUAUGUCCCUCCUUUGCCUUACCACAACAUAGCUGUUCUUAAAUUUUCAUGGAAUAAUGACUAGUAUGUUGAACUGGCAUUUUACAAUAACCACUUUUGCAAUAACCAUUUUCACAAUGAACGUGAGAUUUCCCUUUUGCUAGAUACAACUCAGACUCAGGAAGGACUGUCCCUAUAAGAUAGUCUAUUGCUUGUGACAUUAUAUUCAUAUGGGACCUGGAAGGGUUGUGAAAGGCAUGUGACAUAGAUAUUAGCUGCCCAGGGAG